GGCAGUGGCAAGAUGGCGUCCCUGGAUCGGGUGAAGGUACUGGUAUUGGGAGACUCAGGGUUGAACACCUGAAACUAACAUAAUAUUGUAUGUCAACUAUACUUCAAUAAAAAGAAAAGACAAGUGCUGUCUAUGAAGUUAAAGGGCCAUGAUGUAGAAGAAGAAGAAGAGUUGUUCUCCUUUUCCAAAAGAGGUGUUGGGAAAUCUUCCCUAGUUCAUCUCCUGUGCCAAAAUCAAGUGCUGGGAAAUCCGUCAUGGACUGUGGGCUGCUCAGUAGAUGUCAGGGUUCAUGACUACAAAGAAGGAACCCCAGAAGAGAAGACCUACUAUAUAGAAUUUUGGGAUGUUGGAGGCUCUGUGGGCAGUGCCAGCAGUGUGAAAAGCACAAGAGCAGUAUUCUACAACUCUGUAAAUGGUAUUAUUUUAGUCCAUGACUUAACAAAUAAGAAGUCAUCCCAAAACUUGUAUCGUUGGUCAUUGGAAGCUCUCAACAGGGAUUUGGUGCCAACUGGAGUCUUGGUAACAAAUGGGGAUUAUGACCGGGAACAGUUUGCUGAUAACCAAAUCCCACUGUUGGUAAUAGGGACUAAACUGGAUCAGAUUCAUGAAACCAAGCGCCAUGAAGUUUUAACUAGGACUGCUUUCCUGGCUGAGGAUUUCAAUGCAGAAGAGAUUAAUUUGGAUUGCACAAAUCCACGGUACUUAGCUGCAGGUUCUUCCAAUGCUGUCAAGCUCAGUAGGUUUUUUGAUAAGGUCAUAGAGAAGAGAUACUUUUUAAGAGAUGGUAAUCAGAUUCCAGGCUUUCCUGAUCGAAAAAGGUUUGGGGGAGGAACAUUAAAGAGCUUACAUUAUGACUGAAUUACACUCAUCCUUUGAAGAGUAAGCAAGCAGUGGCAGUUUUUCACAGCUUUCUUCUUGCUGUGUCAGUUAUUAAUGUCUCAGGCUUUUAACGAAAUCAUCUUAAAAUGCCACCCUUCAGCCUCACCCUUUAAUGGAAAACUGAAAGGAAGUAACAGCAUGGGAAGUCCAAACUUUGUCCCCAUUCUCUCUGUUCCUCACCUUUCUGUCCCUGUUUAUAGAUUAUAUAAAAGCCUUGUGGAAAUACGAGAUGUCAAAAUGAUGCAGUAAAUGAGCAGCGACAGAAUGCUGCAGAGAAAAUUUACUCUUGCCCAGAACUGGAGGGUUUUUAUGGGUCUGUAAUUUUCCCACACUCCUUGCUGAAGGCUUAAUUAAGUACUUCAAAACUGUAUCUCCUUCAAAAAUGUAUCUCUAUUGUUUUACCUUCUGAGGGGAAAGGUUAUGUUAGCCGGCCCUGAGUUGUCCACCCCAAACACUCUCUGUCAUUUUCAAAGAAGCAAAAUGGUGUUAUUUAACUGCCUCCACCUUCAUCACACAAAAGGAUGCCUAAUAAUAGCAACCGUUGUCUCUCUCUCCUCUCCUUUGCAAAUGGCUCAGUGGCUGGAAGAGGCGGACUAAUAGCUGGAGUUAAAUAUAAAUAGAUUAAUAAUACAUAGAGAACAGCAGUACCAGAAAAGAAAAAUUAUGCGAGAAAUUGACAGCUCACUAAAUCCUUCACUCUUUAGGUUACAGCUGUCUGCACCCUCUUACUGUUUUCUGUUUGGAAAUAGGUAGGGUGAAAUCUAAGACCUGCACAAGGGCAGUAAGAGAGAUUUACAGCCUCUUCAGUUUUUAUUUUUAUUUUUGAAGGAAAGAUCAACUCCUAAAAUGUCCCUUAACUAUAAUCCAUAAACUAAGAAUAUUAUUCUUUGUGUCAACAAUGUAUUUAUGGAGAGAAGUAAAAAUAACUUCCACAGCAACACAUUUACAUGAAUUAUGGACUAGGAUUCUUGGAUUUCAUAAUCCAAAAUUGGGGGGGGGUGUAUAUGCAUAAUUGUUCAUCACUACUUUUUUUUACCCAUCUUUUUUGCUCGUGUAAUUGCCUUUGCCCCAGUCUUUGUUAACAUAUAAACCUGUUUUACGAAAACUGUAAUUUGCUGCCUUAUUCAACAACUCCUUUUCACAUGUAUUCUUCUCUCUAGGAGGUCUCUGCACUCCUGAUUUUGCUCCAUAUUAAAGUAUAAUAAUAAUAAGUACACAGUUUCAGCUUCUCAUUUUAAAACUAGGGGAAAAAACCACUAAAAUCUCUUUCUAUUCCAUACUUUGGAAAUCAAGGUGUGCUGAAAGAGGAUAUUAAAAUGAUGAUGUUAGAGAGUGCUUUUAGAAAGUCUGUCUUAGGAAUUUGGCAAGGGAUUUUAAAGCACUUUUCAUCAGCUAGAAUUUUCUCCAGUCUUUCUUCACAUCCUCCCCCACAAGAGUUAGCCCUGAUUUCUUUUUUGACAUAAAGGAGAGCUAUGCAAAUCAGGAUCUGUAUGUGGAAUUUGGCACAAGUAUUUUGUGACAGUGGCUGUGCAGUUAAGAAGUAGAAACCAAAUGCAUAUGCAGAAGACCUAAACCAACUGAAGCUCUUUGUAUUCCUCUUUUAAAAAAUAAAUCAAUAACCCUUAAUUAGAAAGGAGAUCUAUUCCAAUUUCUCUAUUUUCUCCCUUAUUAAAAAAUAAGAUGAAAAUAACCUAUCACUGAUGGCUUCAGGGUCAAUCUUGAAAAAUUAACAAUACUCAACUUCAUUUGUUCUUGCUGUCAGGCUUGACUCCUGAAUUACAGUUUUCUAAGAAAAAAUGAGUUUAAUCAUCUAAGGUAAGUUUGUUGCAGCGUUAGUAGCAGCAAAAUAAGGUUGUUGGCCAAAGUGAAUGUUAUUAGCCAGAGUUCUUCAAAAAGAAUCUUUUGAAGCAUAAGUUUUGCUAAGACUUCCUGAAACCUGCUCAUAAAAAUUGCUUUUAGGUAAUAAUAAGUUUAAAUACUUCCUAAAAAGUGUUAAUUAAAGCUUUAAUUUUCUUACUUUCUUGAUGGAACAAAUUGCUACCUAUAAGAGAACUUUUUUUUUUCCCCUGUUGUGAUUCAGACGUCUAACCAACGUUCUUACUCACUGUGGAGGCAACCAGAUACGAAGAUCUGUAGCCACUCAUCUGUCCCCCAGGCGGCUUAGUUGGAAUCCAACUAAGGAUUUGGGUUGGUCUCUCUACCUUAGUGCUCUAGAGAGAGAGCCACUCCCAAAGGGGUUGAUCCAUAUCAGCUUUACUCAGGUUCUCAAAAGUCCCUGAACUUGGGACAUCUAUGAUAUAAUCCAGGUGCCGUGACACUGCUGUUUUUCUCCAUUCUGGAAGUGGACUGCAUAGAACUGAUGUGCUGGGCCAUCGGACUGAGGUGAAGAGCUCCUAACCACUGCCAUAAUCAGAGCUUCUGAGUCUUCAUUUCAACAGGCUGGCCAACCACUAAGCUUUACCAAGAUCAUCAAUAAGUAAAGGUGAAGAAUGAAACCCCUAAACUUCAACAAAGAUGUAAAAUCUUGUUCAGUACCAUCAAAUAUAUCAGGUAAUCUAUCAGUUUCAUUUUUUUCUUGGAGACAUCGGUCCUGAAGUCCUCCGUCCUCUAACUGCACUCUGGAGUGAUUGCUCUCUAGGCCUGCCACUUGCCCUUCACAUUACUCUGUAAUAAUCCCCAGUUUCCUAGAUGUAAUAUUUUCCAUUUUCUUGGUGUGGAUCAGUGGUCUUCCAACUGGGAUGUGUGGAAGAAUCUCUUCCAAGAGGUACAUGGGCACGGAUAGUUUUAAGGGAAUCAUUUUUCAGAUCACGAAUUCUCAUAUGAAUGUAUCUUUGUUAAGAUUGAUCUGCUUGUGAAGCAGCUCGCGCUGGCUCUUAUUUACCACCUCUACUUUCCCAAUUGCCCUUUUCCCACUACAGAAAAAGAGCAUGUCACUACUAGUGCAAUAGAAAUACGGCAUAUUGCCCAGGGGUGUAAAUGUCUUCUGGAUGCCAACAAAGGGACAAUUCUGAAUAUUAGUUUUAUUUAAGGAUUUUGUCUGUUCCACUCCUCACAAUUACAAAAAAAAAAAGAAAAAUGCAGAGCUCUUAAGGAAGAGCUCCUGAGAACAAAGCAAAGAGCUUUGGUAGGAAACAUCCAAGGCUGUGGCACAUUCUUUCAUGUCAAGUCUUCUUGCCUGGUCUAUCAAAAUAUCAAAAUAACAUUUACAUCAAAAAUAAUUAUACAGGCAAAGGUAUAUAAAAUUAACAUUUUUAUUUUCCUAACCCUUUCUGAGUAAAUGAGUUAGACAAAGCACCGCCAAGUGAAAGGGUAACAGUUAAAGUCACUGAUUCCAAUAGCUGGGUAACAAAGCCUUUUCCAAUCAGGUUUCCAAUUAUUUGCUUGCAACAAAAUUGAAGAAGAACCAACCUGAGUUAUUGACUGAUAGGUCAUUAAAAUAAUGUUUAAUGAUAGGUCAGUAUGUGAUUUUUGGUAUUUAAUUCAGAAGGAAUUUGAGUGCUACCAUAACAAAAUCCCUUCCAUUCAUAACUGCUUAUUUAUGUGAACAAAUUUUCUCAACAUUUAUGUCUAAAAAA